rnacentral:tRNA from 1 species
AUUAUUUUGGCAGAAUAGUGCAUUGAAUUUAGAAUUCAAGAAUGUAAUUUAUUACAAAUAAUA